UAAAUGGUCAUUUGUAAGUAGCUUUGGAUAAAAGCGUCUGCUAAAUGACUAAAU
rfam:Danio rerio chromosome 4, GRCz11 reference primary assembly.